rnacentral:lncRNA from 10 species
AGCUCCGGUGGCGCUCGGGCGUGUGCCCCAGCGGUCCUUUUACGCACAGCGCUCGGUCGGUCCACUCCUCAAGUCCGCGAACCGAGGCCCCGACGCGUUCUUCAGGGCGCUGCCUAGGGCAAAAGAAGGCGCUGGACACCCCUAAUGGAGCCUGGAAGCACCUGUCCUGCAGCCGAGGCUGGCCAACUUCCUUCCAAUCUUCAGCCUGGUUUUGAAUAGCUCUUUUGAUAGUCUGAGACCUCAGGGAGGUACCUUCAUGACCCAUUAUUGGCCACUGCAAGUCUUGAAGACGGACAUACCCUUACAAAAGGCAUAAGGAUAUUGCAUGGAUCUUCCUACUGGGCUGUAGGCUGUGCUCCAAUUUACUAGUAAAUGGAACUCUGGGUAGUAGGGUCCUCUUCUCUUUGCACCAUCCUGAGUCCAUGGGCUUGACCUCUACCCCUCCAUCUCCUGCCUGUGUAAGAUCCAAAAGUCCAGCCUAAUUCUCCUUUCCUACAUCCACAGCAAAUGCUCCUGCCUUGGAUUAUUUUAGGACUGUGAUUCCUCUCCUGGAGCAUGAUGCCAAUCAGACUUGUGUAAUUAUUUAGUAUAUGAUUUGCUCUUUUAUUGGAUUAGAGGCUUCUUUAGGGCAGGGAUUAUAUUGGACUAAUUUCUCUUUCAUGUGAAGAACCAAGCAUAGGACCUAGCUCAUGCUUAGUACUCAGUGGCUAGGUACUAAAUGGUUAUAACUAUUAACUUAAUUGUUAUAAUAGUUAAUUGUUGUAAUAGUUAAGACUGUAACUACCAAUGACCACAUGCUCAUGAUCUGCCUUGUACCAUGCUAAGUGCUUUACAUACAUUAUCUGCCAGCCUUACAUCAGUUCUGUAAGGAAAGCAUUACUAUCCUCUUAAAGAGGAGAACUGGAGGCUUAAAGAGAUUAGUGACUUGGUCAAGGUCGUAGAGCAAGGAAAAGGUAGAGUUGGAGUUUUAAUUCAGUCUCCAUCCGAAUGAAGAGAUGUGUGGGUGGCCAUGUGAAACACAUACGGAGCAUCACUGCAUUUGCGCAAUUUCCACCUCAAAUCUGAACCUGGUCAUGCAAGCCUGAAGACAGCUGGCUUCCCCGAGACAGCCUAGCCCAGCAUCAUAAUGUGGGCUGCUGUCAGUUAGACCCAGUCUGGGGCUGCCAAAUUAAUGAGCCCCUAGACUAUCCAAGAUGAUCUGCACAGUGGCUUCUGUUCUUUCCCUGGCUUCAUCUUUAUAGCUGUCCUCAGUGAGAUGAGCACUGAAGAAGAAUUAAAUAAGGCCAUGAGCACAUCAACAAUGAGAAUGGUCAAUAUCACCUAUGCUGAGGCUUUACCUGGGGCCAGAGGCCAGGAUUUGUCCAGAAAAUUUGUACCUUUAGGGUGCCAGCAAGGUGGAGAACUUGUCCUUGUCUGCACCCUAUUUCAUCUGACUUGCUCUAAACCCUUCAUCAGAACCUGAACCAGAGCUGAGGUUCACAUGGAUAAUCUCUCCCUUGAGGCAGAGUUAACUCUCUUCGGCCUACAGACAGCAAAGGAGAAUGAUAUUCAAUGGAAAAAUUCAAUGUUCUCAGGCUACUCAAAACUUCCUGUUAAAAAAGAAAAAAACUAUGCAAAAAAAACUUCCUGUGAUUUGUCUAUGAUUUCUUAUUUUAAGGAUGAAAAAAAUAAAACCCAGGGAGAGUAAGCACUUCCCCAAAGUCACCAGCAAUCUCCUGCUAGAGCCAGGCUACUGCUGAGGUCUCCUGGCUCCCUGCCCAGAGCUCUAGUCACCAUAACACACUUGCUUAGCUUUAAACUCAAUUUGCUUAUUUGAGGCAAAACUAAAAGAAGACACAAUUUCUUUUUGUUGUUAUUGUUUUUGAGACACAGUCUUGCUCUGUUGCCCAGGCUGGAGUGCAGUGGCACGAUCUUGGCUCCCUGCAACCUCUCUCUCCUGGGUUCAAGCAAUUCUCCUGUCUCAGCCCCUCGAGUAGCUGGAGUUACAGGCAUGCGCCACCACACCCAGCUAAUUUUUGUAUUUUUUUUUUUAGUAGAGAUGAGGUUUCGCCAUGUUGGUCAGACUGGUCUUGAGCUCCUGACCUCAGGUGAUCUGCCCACCUUGGCCUUCCAAAGUGCUGGGAUUACAGGCAUGAGCCACCGUGCCCAGCCAGAAGGCACAAUUUCAAAGUCUCUGAAUAUAUUUGAGCAUUUCCAUAGACAGAUGGCUCCUCCAGCCUCUCCCUUUGCAUUACGAGUUUGAGGCUGCUUGGUGGAAUGAAGAAAGGAUUGACUUUGAAGCCGGCUGGGCCCUUUCAAAGCCUUGGGCUUUGACUCUUGGCAAAAUCACUUUCUCUCUCUAGCCCUAGGACUGUUGUCUGUAAAAUGGUACCAUUACCUGCCUGGCAGGGCUGUUGUGUUCCUGCUUAUUUUUGGAGCUCAAUUCUAAUGUCACUUUCAGUGUUCCCUGACCUUCUAUCUAAAGUGGUCUCUCUAGAGGACUUCUGAUUUCAAUUCUGAUAUAUGAAAAGGUUAGAAGCGCUCUCAUCCUUACAAGAAAAAUACGGGAAACUGGAAAAUCAAUGACUUUCUCUGGAUCUAUCAGAAAACUGGGUUUGGAGGCCAAAUCUCCAUCUGGGUUCUGGAGAGAAAGGCUCUUCCAAGAAGUCCAGCUGAGAUCUCCUUACCUGGAGCAGAAGCCAGCUCAGUGAUGCCUCAGAACGGAUGGUCCGAACUUACAAUGGUUCAACUUACAAUUUUUUGAUUUUAUAAUGGUGUGAAAAUGACACACAUUCAGUAGAAACCAUACUUUGAAUUUUGAUCUUUUCUAGGGCCAGUGAUAUGUGGCACAAUGCUCUCUUGCAGUGCUGGGCUAAUGUAAGUGUUCUGAACAUACUUAAAGUAGUGUAGGCUAAGUUGUGAUGUUUGGUAGAUUAGAUGUAUAAAAUACAUCUUCAACUUACGAUAUUUUCAACUGAUGAUGGGUUUAUUGGGACAUAACGGCAUCAUGAGUCCAGAAGCAUCUGUAGUAAUUCUGAUGAAUUACUGCAGGUAGUGUGUGGAUUAGUGUGAGAAGGACAAACAUCUACAGCUGCAGUCUUAGUGGUGGCCCCCACACUUUUUUUUUUUCCUCUGAGACGGA